rnacentral:rRNA from 1 species
UACGGUAGGGUGCAAGCGUUGUCCGGAAUUAUUGGGCGUAAAGAGCUCGUAGGCGGUCUGUCGCGUCUGCUGUGAAAACUCAGGGCUUAACCCUGAGCUUGCAGUGGGUACGGGGCAGACUAGAGGUGCGGGUAGGGGAGACUGGAAUUCCUGGUGUAGCGGUGAAAUGCGUAGAUAUUGGGAGGAACACCAGUGGCGAAGGCGGCUCACUGGACCGGUACUGACGCUG